ACGAGUAAGAUCUAAAAUAUGUACUGCUUUGAUACACUUUUAUUGUCACAAAAGGUAAACGUAAGUUUCAUACCAAAGGCAGCGCAAGGGUUGGUGGCGACUUAUGCAAGACUUCCGGUCAGGCAUAGGAGUGGUCCACAGGCACCCAAUCUGUUUCUUGGUUCGAGAUUACGAUUCAUGUUCUUGGCAUCGUAAGCUUUCCCGCUGGCUGUUUUGUGUUCUCACUGUCGUGUUUCAUGCAGAUGAUUAUGCUAUGAUUGACGCAUCAUAAAGACAUAAACCGCUUUUAAUCACUUUUGAUGGCUGAUGUUCUGACGUAUACAUCUAUCGUUACCUAGCUGUUAAAUCUACCUAUUGCGUAUUUCUAUGA